UGGUAUCAAGCCCAGACCCCGGGCGACGGACAUUACUCACCUGAGGAGGACAAGUGCAGCUUUUAUUUAUCGCCUCUCGGGCCCAAAGUAAGGACAAAGGCAAUGAAGAUGGCUGCGCUGUCAGGAAGUGGACUCAAGUGACACAUGAAGUGUCUUUUCUUUGGCUUGCACACCAUUCCGUCUCCAGGAGGAGCAUUUCUUCAAAACAUUGCAAGAACGUGUGCAAAAACAUGUUAUUGAUGGUUAGGUGGGGGUGAAGGUUGUGUCCCCCAGGACGCGAGAGGAAGAGCAGAAGCAGCUUGCAGGUGCGAUAUCCCUCCUUCCCAGCAGUUGUCUCCAGUAUCCCCCCCCCCCCAUACCCUCCACAUGCUUGAUGAUCUUGCACUCUUCCGCCAUGAUGUUUACUCUGGGGCGAGCCAAGGCGGAGAGGAGAGACGGGGGCGGAGGUGCAUUUGUCCCAAGGACCCACCGCCACCCACCCGCGGCCCCUUCGGAGCCUGCAUGCCCCCGGCCCUGCCUGGAACAUUUCAGUCUGGGGUUGUCAUGUGCACGUGGCGCACCCAUUUUACCCCUCAAUUAAAACACUUAAAUGUGUUUCCCUAAAUGUCCCUUGUUUAAAAUUUUAUAAAAUGGAAAAAAAAACUCUAUGGUAUUACAAUA